GACUGGUGACAGAGUGAGGGGAUGACUGGUGACAGAGUGAGGGAGUGACUAGUGACAGAUGGAGGUAGUGACUAGUGACAGAGGGAGGUAGUGACUAGUGACAGAGUGAGGGAGGGGGUGACUGUCACUAGUCACCCCAUCCCUCUCUCUGUCACUAGUCACUCCCUCCCUCACUCUGUCACUGUGUCACCCGCUCCCUCACUCUGUCACUAGUCAACCCCUCACCCACUCUGUCACUAAUCACCCCCUCUGUCCCUAGUCACCCCCUUCCUCACUCUGUCACUAGUCACCCCAUCCCUCUCUCUGU